rnacentral:lncRNA from 1 species
UUCCAGCCAAUGAAUUAACUCCAACAGGCAAAACCACAUGAGGCGGCAAUGUCCUGCUCGUGACGGAUCAUGGGCUUACGCCCAUGCUUCGCAGGGAAGCAUGCACCCUGGAGAGUGGAAAAGCUGUCUCCAGUCUGGAACAGCCGGGUGAUGACCGAGGCUAAGAAGCCCUUGGGAGAGGAGCUGAGCAGCUACUGUCUGUGUGGAUGGGCAGUCCUGUGUAGACAAAGGAGAGAUGGGCUGGAUGCGGAAAAGCCAAACCUACAUCAUUACAGACCGUGGUCCUGGGACGUGGUGGCUGCACUGAUGGGGAUCCGUGGGGCACUGAUCAUUCCAGCACAGCUACGGUGUUUUGAGGCUUUUCUUUAACAUUCAGGCAUUUUACAUGCACUAUCUCGUUAACCCUUGCAGCAACCUGGUGACCAGGUAGGGAUGGGUGUUUCACAUUAACUCCAGGUCAUUGGUAAGUCAGCUGUGACGCAGAAAUUAAGAAACUUGUCCAAGUUUGUGUGAGAGUAAAGGGCCGAGAAGAAACUGGAACUGGGAUCUGCCUCCCCAGGGAGACUCGCUUUGAGUCUGUUUUCUGUUCUAAAGGGCAGUUCGGGUGUGGCCUCGCGGUGCCGUGACACUGGAGCUAGUUGCCUGCAAGGUAAGGGGAGCAUUUUAUUCAGGGUGGGCCGUGUCUUAAAGAUCAGACAUUGAGAGUCCUUAAGAGUCAUAUUUACAAAGGUUGGAUGCCAUCCUGUUGAAAGUUUUACCCAUGUUUAUAGUUUCACAGACUUUGCAUGUGAAAUUUUACAAGCAGACGAGUUAAAACAGAGUUAAACCUUAAGUUUCUGAUUGAACGUGUAUCUUCUUCAUUGGAUUUUUAAGAAGAGAGAGAGAGAAUUUCAAAUGUCACAUACCCCAAAGCAGCCAUCUAGACCCAAGUGAAGAUCGGCACAGAAACUUAAUGAGACAUUUAUUAGUUAUUGUCUCCAGGUAAAACAUUUACUUAGAAAGCUGUGUUCCACCGUGACAGAUGGUCCUGUCUUCCACGCUAUAAUUUCAAAGCAUUAAUAAUUGGUAUCAAUCUCUAGCAAUUGAAGUUCACACCUUCAUUGCAUGAGAUUUGGAACAUAGGUCAGAGAAUGCAUGUUUUUCAGUAAGGAUUUUUUAGUAAGGAUUUUCCCUUCCCCAGAGCUAGAGCUUAUAAAAGGGUAAGAUUUAAGCUCAUGGCUUAAGGAUGCUAUUUAGUGAGUCCCGCUGAAUUUCAAACGUAGCAGGGCGUGCCACAUCAAUGUCAUUUGGAAGUUGAAUUUAGGAGUUCCCGCUGUGGCUCAGUGGGUUGAGAACCCAACAUCGUCUCUGUGCAGAUGUGUGCCCAUCC